GACAGAGGGUGCAACCGUUGUUCGGAAUUACUGGGCGUAAAGCGUGUGUAGGCGGUCUCAUAAGUCGGAUGUGAAAGCCCUGGGCUCAACCCAGGAAGUGCACUCGAUACUGCGAGGCUAGAGUAUCGGAGAGGUUGGUGGAAUUCUCGGUGUAGAGGUGAAAUUCGUAGAUAUCGAGAGGAACACCGGUGGCGAAGGCGGCAUCCUGGACCGGCAUUGACGCUGAGGCGCGAAAGCCAGGGGAGCAAACGGG
rnacentral:rRNA from 1 species